UUUAAAGGGCUCACACACAAUGCUGCACGUGAAUAUUGGGUUUUUCAUGUGCAUCUCGUGCAAUUUUUUUUUUGCACACGGGCCGAUAUUUUUUGCGUUUGGGAGCAUUGUGUGAAACAAUAGUUCAUAGUAUUGCAUAAUAUUAUAAAUACAAAACCACCUAGUAAUAAAAUAUUUGGGAAAAAAAGUGAUGCGUUUUCCAUGGCGCUCAGUAUACAAGGAGUGUCAAAUGCAAUUUCUUUAAAUAAUGGUAUGCUUGCUUUGUAGCUUAAUACUUUCUUUUUUAGAAAAAUUCAAGUAUCAGAUACCAAUAUAUACUACAUCUUCAAACCUUGAAGGACAGUCCAAUCUCAUACUUGGUGAGCAGCACAGCAGACUCCAUAACAACACCCAUUAUUGGCCCUCAACUUAUUGGAUCCCCACUUGCAUAUCAUCAAAUGCCAAGAUGUCCAUGAUUGAAAUCCUGAAAAAUAUAUACAGUAAAUAGAUUACAAUAUGUAUUUCAAGCACCUCUUAUGCAAGUGACAACUCAACCGAGAACAGAGAACCCUGAUAAAUGUGGUGAAAUAGUUUUUCCAAAACCAGUUGAUGUACAUUUAGAUUUAAAUCAGAUAGAAAAGAUGAAAGUUGAGUGGAAAUAAAUAGAUGUAAAGCAAGAUGAAGCCUUAAAAAUAGAGAGAUUUACAAGAAAUAAUAAUAAGACCUGGAUGAACGAAAGAAAGUGUGGUGUUACUGCCUCAAAUUUUGGAGCUAUUAUGAAAAGAAAGAAUAAACAAUUCAUUUUUAAAAACACAUUUGACAAAGGUGCUACACCAGAUGCAAUUGUUUGUAUUAAAGGCGAGACUUGGCUCGUUAAAAUUAAAUGUCCUUCUCCGCUUGAGAUUUGACACUUACAGAAGCAUGUAAUAAACUGAAAGAUUUCUUUAUAAUUCAAAAUGAUGAUGAAGAUGAAUAUAAAUUGUCUAGAAACCAUAUUCACUGGUUUCAGAUUCAGGGACAACUUCUCAUAACUGGGGCACAAUUUUGCAACUUUGUCACUUUUACAAGACAGGAUUCUGCAUAGAGAGAAUAUAUCCCGAAAAAGAAACCAUGCAGCAACUUGUUUCAAAAUAAUCAUGUUUUUAUGUUGAACAUUUACAGCCAUAUCUUAUAAAAAAUCUACAAGUCUAUAAAAUGAGUUUAACUAACCUGCGAUAGCAUCAACUAUUUUCUCUGUCUGUACCAUUUUAUUAAUCAAAGUAUUUUCUUCACAGUUUUUAUUC